AAAUACUUUUAAGACAUUAUGCAUCAUAUAUACGCAGUGCAUUCAAUCGGAAGCUACAUUGAGGCAUAUACACACAAAAGACAACCUCAAAUGUUAAUAAAAUAUCAUCGACAUGGUGUAAUAGACCAAAAGUCACAGAUAGAAUUGUACAAGUACAUACAAAAGUUACCUCAAAGUCUCAUUGAAUUUUUCACUUUAUGAGUCCAAUAUUCUUCGCUUGAUUGUUACAACUUUGAAUUUCCACUCACUUUGGAUUACAAGUCAUUGUGAGAAAAAUACGUCGAGUCCAUAUUUCGCAACAAGUGUAGCACAUUCAUGUAACGGCAACCUAGAUCAUGCAGCCCAUCUAUGAGAUUGGAAUCAUGCAGCCCAUCUAUGAGAUUGGAACACCCACCAGUGUCAACAGCAACAACACACAUCUUUCUUUUUAUCACUGUCUUAUUUGAAAAUUACAAACCACAGUUAAUAAAAAUAUUAAUAGCAACACCACUUACUAAACAAUCUCACAUAAUGAUAAAUUGAAUUGUGCAAAUCUAUACACACAACAAAUGUAAUUAUCACAUCUCAUGCUCUCGGCCGAGUAGUAGAGCAGGUGAACACUCACGGCCGAAAAUAUUUGGCAUAGCCAUAACAGAUGGAUGAGGUAAACUAAAAGUAAACGUUUUGAAGUUGUCACAUGGCCGUGUAGACAUUUGAAUAGAGAUUUAAUAUUAAAUUCACACCAAAACAAUAUAACCAACAAAGAAUUGAGAAAUACAUGGAGGUGUGAUAACACACUCACAACAUGCAUUAUAGAAGAAUUAAAAUUACCAUGCACCAUACUCUAAAGCAAAGACAUAGAACCAAUAAACUAAAGGUAAGUGUAGCAACCAUACAAAUGAGACCCCCAAAAAAAGAAAAAACAAGAAAGCUACAUCGUAACCUUCUUUGAAAGCACCAUCUUACUUUUUGACCACAACAAGAUAUACUAAAAAAGUGACCAAAGUCACGAUUGAGAAUUCAGUAAUUUAGUCAGUGAUAUAACAAAAUAUGAAAAGAAAUAAAGCACAAAAAUACUAUUUUGAACAAAGUAGGGUAGUGAAUACCGAAGGUGCAAUAAACCGAUGAAAAGUGUUCACAAAUAAAUUCGAUGUGAGCAAAGACAAGCGACGUGAGGGCACCGUCGAAAACCAGAAAAAAAUAACAAUCUUGUAUAACACAAAGUAACAAAUCCUUAAAAAACCUAAAGGCUAGAGGCAAUACCCAAGUCCUAAUCCUAGAGUAACAAAUCCGAUCUAGUGAAAAAUACAAGAAAUUUACUCACAACAACAUCAAAAAGUAAAGAUUUUGCCAAGAACUCAAACAAUAACAUUAACUACUCCAUUUUACAGAACACGUGCAAUGAAACAAAAUGAUUGUUAAGGACAAAAACAUUAUUUGAGCAUAUAGCAAUAAAUUCUUACAAGUUUUAAAGAGAUCUAAAAUGAAGAAAACAAGUGAAAUCUAACUUGUUUGUUGUAGGAUUGGAAUACUUAAACCAAUUCACCUACAAUAUCAACCUCUUUGAUCUUCGGAGUUUAUAUGAAAAUUACCAACCACAAUAAAUAAUAAAUUAAAAGAAUAACAAACCCACAUAAUGUUAAAAAUUACCAAUCUCAGAGGUGGAUCAAUAAAUUGUAUCAAGAACUCACAUUAGCAUCCACAAAACUUCUAUGUUAAAUUAAAUUGUGCAAAUUUAAACUUAACUUGACCAACAUAAAUAAAUUUGAACUAUCAAAUGCCUGACCGAGUAAGAAACCAGGAACACACCUAAAAAUAAUUGGCAACCAAAUAGAGGUGACAAACUAAGUUUAGCCUCUUGCCACCAUUCAGUCUAAAACAAAGACACGGAAAAAAUAAAUUAACAGUAAGAAUGCUAAAAAAAUAUAUAAAGAAAACUCGAGAGUAAGUAACCUUUAGUUGAAAGUACACAUCCUCUUUUAUCCUUAACAAAAGAUCUGAAAACUGAGACCGAACUCAGACACAGAAGUCACUCGAUGUCUCGAUUAAAUAAUAAAACAUGUAACAAAAUAAAACACAAAAAAGAAUACUAUUAUAAGAACAAAUUAAGAUAUUGACUCCCACCGUUGCAAUAAACUAAGAACCUCGGUGGGAGCACAAGCAAGCAAACGAGAGAGCAUCAAUUGAAACUAAUAGAAACCAAAGAUAAAAUCUUCCAGUAACACAAAGUAAUGAAACCUUAGAAAUCCAAAAAGGCUAGAGGCAGAAAACCAAUAUAUAUGGGCCUAAUCCUAGAGUAAUGAACCCCGUCCCCUAAACCUAUAAAUGAGAACUAUAACUAAACGACCAUGCACAUCUAACAACAAUGAAGAGUGCAAAAUCGUGAAGACGAAAUUUACAACACAAAUAAAAAGCAACACAAAAAUAAAUGCACCUUGAAAUUUGGAGAGGCGGAAUAGCUUUUGAUUACAUAAGAAGGAAAAUGUCUCGCAUAAAUGAUGAGCACAAGAGAAAAAUAGCCUAAUGGUAGACAUGCUCAUGAUAUAAUUGAAUUUUGUUAUUAUAGAGAAUUACUUGGUAAAGUUAUUGUUCAAAUAUUUAAAUUUUAUCUAAACUAACAAACUAAAUAAUUUGUUAAAACGGCACACUGACAAAAAUACUACAUUAAAAUCAAAAUGGUCAGACGACGACUACUUCUUAGAUUCUUAUUAUUAGCUUACCUCAGAUCAAAUAGAAAGAACGCGAAACGCUAGCGCAACAGGGUCGGUUUUUAUCAACCUAUAAACAUCAUUACACGACAAAGAAAAGGAUGUCAAGUAUUUAUCAAAAAAUGCUACUUAAUAAUGUAUCAAAAAAUGCUACUUAAUAAUAUGAACCCCAACUCAAAUGCAAGGUAGUGCUCACUACUCCCGUGGAAGAAUAUGCAACUUUUGAAGAAGUGGAUGUCGCUGAACGAGCACGUGUCUAAUAAACAAUUUAAAAUUAAUAAGUCAAACCCAAUAGGUAGCUAAGUAUUCCCCAGUUAUAUUCAUAAAUUUGAGCAUUUCAUGUAAUCUCAUUGGAUUUUAGAACAAAUUAAUAAGAAGCUGUGAUUGAAUAAUCUAUAUAUAUAAGAGGUAAUAUUAUAUUAAAGAAGAUUUGUAUAUGCUCAAAACAUAAAGAAGAAACCAGAGCAAGUAACUCACCCACAUCAGAUAAUUAAGAAAACUAAACUAAACUAAACUAUCCCCAUAAUAUAUAUAUAUAAUACUACCAUACAAAAUGGGUGAUGGCUCUCAUUGUGAUUGAAAAGGUAGGAUUUUGAUUUGAGAUGUGGUUUGUUUGAAUAUUUUGCAUGAUAAUUUUGGGCUAUAUAUAUUUGUAGUUAGGUUUAUACAACCAAAUUUAUGUAGCUCAAGGCGACAAGAAGUAAAUGAUUAAUGCCCAAUUCUAAUCAUCAAGCCCAACUAUAUUUCAUGCACUAUAUCAUGAUCCAGAUCAAUUAUAUUCCAUUAUUAUCAAUUAAAAAUAGAGAGUCAAAAUCCCUCACAAUAUACUGCCCCUGUUCCUUAGCUCUCUCCAUUUUCUCAUCUCCUCCACUCACACUUUCGAUCAUCUCUCUCUGCACUUCAUGUUCGCAACAGUAAGUAAAUCCUAACCGCUAUUCUUCCCUCUUCUUCUUCCCUUUCUCUUAAUUUCUCGCGAAUAAUCUGAAAAUCAGCCGUCCGACUACACCUCACCGUCGUUCCAAAUCGUCGACCCACAAUCCUCGCCUCGACCCGUAAAUCAGCAGUCAAUUGCAGACAACAACCCAAUUAACCCAGCCCCAACUCGCUCUAACUCAGCCAAGACUCGCCGUUCCCCAUCGUCUACCAUCCUUCUCCGAUAACCAGAAGCCAAGAAAGCCACCUCCGAUCAGCACCAUCAACACCAGAAACCUAGCCGCAGCUCACUCAAACUCUAGUCAAGACAUGAUUUUCUGUAAAACAGGGAGCACCCUUUCCUCUUUGAUUUCUCUUUGAUUUCUUAAAAUCAUUCAUUAUAAUUUGAUUUCUCUUUGACUUCUUAAAAUUAUACUCGUUUCAAGCUUUCGUGAUCACUAUAUAGUUCUAGGGUUAAUCAAAAAAAGUAAUCAUAAAAGCAGGUUUACGAAGAUAAGCUCACCUUUGGUUUUGUUGCUGUAAUGGCUUUUCAAGUGGGUUGAUUUUGAUCUGACUUUGCACCGAUCAUUUGAAGAAGAUUUGAUUUCUUGGAGUAGAAUUUCAAAAGAGAGAAACCAUAGAAAGUAGAAAGGGAGAAAAAGAAAGUUGAUC
rnacentral:lncRNA from 1 species